GGGCAGGUUGAAGGUUGGGUAACACUAACUGGAGGACCGAACCGACUAAUGUUGAAAAAUUAGCGGAUGACUUGUGGCUGGGGGUGAAAGGCCAAUCAAACCGGGAGAUAGCUGGUUCUCCCCGAAAGCUAUUUAGGUAGCGCCUCGUGAAUUCAUCUCCGGGGGUAGAGCACUGUUUCGGCAAGGGGGUCAUCCCGACUUACCAACCCGAUGCAAACUGCGAAUACCGGAGAAUGUUAUCACGGGAGACACACGGCGGGUGCUAACGUCCGUCGUGAAGAGGGAAACAACCCAGACCGCCAGCUAAGGUCCCAAAGUCAUGGUUAAGUGGGAAACGAUGUGGGAAGGCCCAGACAGCCAGGAUGUUGGCUUAGAAGCAGCCAUCAUUUAAAGAAAGCGUAAUAGCUCACUGGUCGAGUCGGCCUGCGCGGAAGAUGUAACGGGGCUAAACCAUG
rnacentral:rRNA from 1 species